AUAUAACACGGAACUAGAAAACUGGUGGAGGGAGGGAGCGCUGGUGGAGGGAGGGGAGAGGAAGGGAGUGGAGGGUGCAGAGUGUCAGGAAGAGGAAGAGCGAGGGUGUUGCAGGGAAAGUACUGGUCUGUGCUGCGUGUGGGAAGUGACUUUAGUGGCGGCGUGAAGGCGAGGACACGAGUGAGGUGCUGGCAGGCUGACUGAGCGCAAUGGACCAACACGAAUAGCUGGAGGUCGGGGGACAGGCGCGCGCGAAGGCAGACGGCGACAGAUUCGUGACUCAAAACAAAAGCAUCGUGACAGCACAAGUGGGAGCGUCCGUCAUUCUUCACUGCAAGACCUCAAGUGCGACUGGCGGCCUGGUGUCUUGGAUCAGGAAGAGGGACUACCAGCUCCUGACGGUGAUUCUGUACACACACUCCAGUGACGACCGCUUCUCCAUCAACUACUUGCAAUGGGUGAGUGUUUGCUCUCGUGUGUGUGUGUGUGUGUGUGUGUGUG